rnacentral:rRNA from 1 species
CAGUCGCCACGGGAAUACGUAGGGUGCGAGCGUUAAUCGGAAUUACUGGGCGUAAAGCGUGCGCAGGCGGUUUUGUAAGACAGGCGUGAAACCCCCGGGCUCAACCUGGGAAUGGCGCUUGUGACUGCAAAGCUAGAGUGCGGCAGAGGGGGAUGGAAUUCCGCAUGUAGCAGUGAAAUGCGUAGAUAUGCGGAGGAACACCGAUGGCGAAGGCAAUCCCCUGGGCCUGCACUGACGCUCAUGCACGAAAGCGUGGGGAGCAAACAGGAUUAGAUACCCGCGUAGUCCCUGUCUCUUAUAC